rnacentral:rRNA from 1 species
GUUGAGCGCUGAAGGUUGGUACUUGUACCGACUGGAUGAGCAGCGAACGGGUGAGUAACGCGUGGGGAAUCUGCCUUUGAGCGGGGGACAACAUUUGGAAACGAAUGCUAAUACCGCAUAAAAACUUUAAACACAAGUUUUAAGUUUGAAAGAUGCAAUUGCAUCACUCAAAGAUGAUCCCGCGUUGUAUUAGCUAGUUGGUGAGGUAAAGGCUCACCAAGGCGAUGAUACAUAGCCGACCUGAGAGGGUGAUCGGCCACAUUGGGACUGAGACACGGCCCAAACUCCUACGGGAGGCAGCAGUAGGGAAUCUUCGGCAAUGGACGAAAGUCUGACCGAGCAACGCCGCGUGAGUGAAGAAGGUUUUCGGAUCGUAAAACUCUGUUGGUAGAGAAGAACGUUGGUGAGAGUGGAAAGCUCAUCAAGUGACGGUAACUACCCAGAAAGGGACGGCUAACUACGUGCCAGCAGCCGCGGUAAUACGUAGGUCCCGAGCGUUGUCCGGAUUUAUUGGGCGUAAAGCGAGCGCAGGUGGUUUAUUAAGUCUGGUGUAAAAGGCAGUGGCUCAACCAUUGUAUGCAUUGG